rnacentral:sRNA from 1 species
UAUUAAAAGUACCCCAUGGAUGGACCUCCAAAUGAGUUUAGGGUAAUUGUGCUUAAAAUAUUAGGACCAAAGUACAUUUAUUUUAUAGAUGGAGGAGGGGAGGAGACGGGUGGGGACCAGCUUGACAUCCAGUCUUCACCUGGACAUAUGGAAAGAACGAAUGUGCGAUCUGCUCAUUCCCUCUGUAGGUCUCUGUUGUUAUGUAUUUCCUCCUCUCUUUCAGAGCAUAAUAACCAAUGACUGCUCUCAGAAAGGUACUGUGACCACCACUUGCUUGGCUCUCCAACUUCCUCCCCCAUUUCCCUCUUGACUCCUCUUUGCCGUAUCACCUUCUGUCCCCUAGCCUUGUCUCAGGUCUCCGAUGAAUCCUGCCCUUAAUCUGUGGGGGUGGUAGGUGGCACUGGUUUGAAGAGCUUACUGGGUCUCCCUCAAUGAGUCAGCCUGGAGUUGUGUUUGAAAACCACAGGCCCUGACUGUGGCUGUCAGACCUCCCAGACACCAUCUUCUGCUGCCCGUCAUCAUCUUCAGGUGCUGGGCUCCCCUGUGGGCCUCGUCCGCCCGCCCUCUGCUGCAGCUGUCCCAUGGGUGCCCGCCCUCUCUGACACCACAAGAGAACCCAUCUAGAUUCCAGGAACAAACUCAUCUUUAUUUGCCUUCUUCCCACUGAAGGUAAAAGCAACAUUAAUAACCACAAUAAAUACUUAGUGAGUGCUUACUAUUAUUCAUUUAAUUGUUGGCCCUUCCAUCCCUGACCAUGAUGAGAGACAUGCCAUAGCUUACUCCUAAAGAAACCUGAGGACACACGUGCACAAACAUAUUGGGCAUAUCAUCACUGGCAUCAAAACUGAUUUUCCCUGUCUACCCAGAACAGGCCCGAGGGAGAGGGAAAAGCGGAUACCCACCUGUGUCGCUGUUUGCGUGCCAAGUCCAGAACAGUCCACACAGCCCUGCUGCAUCCCACGACGCUGUCACAAAGCAGGAGUUCAUCCGAGGCCGAGGUAUGGAGAAACUGAGGCCCAGAAAUUGAUCUCCAGAAUGCUUUGCUCUUAGCCACUGUACUAUUAUGGCAUAUUUUAUCUUUAUGUAUUGCAUCAUUUCAUGGAUUCAAGUUUAUCAAUGUCCUUUGACAAGUUUAAAAAUCUGUCUGCUAAAACCUAUCAAAUACAUUAAGGAAAAGUCCCACUUGGCACAUCUCCCACACAAGAUGUUAAUUAUUCAUACUGCAUGACUGAGGAUUUUGGAGGCAGAGAGAGAUUCAUCUGCAAUAUUUGGAACACCAAUGGAGGUCUACAUCAACACAGAAUUUAUACAGCAGCUGGUGCUAGUCAGAGCUAAUGACAGAAUUUCAGUUUAAUAAAAAGACCCCCAACUGAGCACACCAUCUUGAAAAAAGUAUACUUAUCAAACAGCUUUCAAUCAGUUCAAGAGAGACACCUUAAUUGGGGAGAGGAAGAAUUGCAGAGUAGUUUGUAAUCACGCCAAUUCCAGAUCAAUAACUGCGUGUCUGUUCUUUGGUAGAAAUAGCUUUUGCUUUAUAUUAAGUAAUCACAUAUAUAUUCUCUCUAUUUGGAUAAGGAAACCUUUGCUUUAUUUGACAAUGUAUAAUGAUAUACUCUUUUAAUUCACCUCUGUGUCUUCAUAAUAAACAUGAGUAAAAUUUAGACAUGUGAUGUAAAUGUCAAUAUAAUUAUUUAUUUUUAAAAUAAAUUUUGUAUCUAACAGGAAAGCAGUGCUUAUGAAAUUUUUAUAUUUUCAAAAAUUGUUUUGUUCAAAUAAAAUUUUAUGAGUAAAGUUAAA